rnacentral:rRNA from 1 species
GAUGAACGCUAGCGGCAGGCCUAAUACAUGCAAGUCGAGGGGUAUGGGUUGCUUGCAACCCAGAGACCGGCGCACGGGUGCGUAACGCGUAUGCAAUCUACCUUAAUCAGGGGGAUAGCCCGGAGAAAUCCGGAUUAACACCGCAUAAUAUUGAGUUGUGGCAUCACAGUUCAAUCAAAUAUUUAUAGGAUUAAGAUGAGCAUGCGUGACAUUAGUUAGUUGGUGAGGUAACGGCUCACCAAGACCACGAUGUCUAGGGGAUCUGAGAGGAUGACCCCCCACACUGGUACUGCGACACGGACCAGACUCCUACGGGCGGCAGCAGUAAGGAAUAUUGGUCAAUGGGCGCCAGCCUGAACCAGCCAUGCCGCGUGCAGGAAGACGGCCCUAUGGGUUGUAAACUGCUUUUGUACCGGAAUAACCCUUCUCUUGCGAGAGAAGCUGAACGUACGGUAAGAAUAAGGAUCGGCUAACUCCGUG